rnacentral:rRNA from 1 species
CCUACGGGUGGCAGCAGUGAGGAAUAUUGGUCAAUGGACGAGAGUCUGAACCAGCCAAGUAGCGUGAAGGAUGACUGCCCUAUGGGUUGUAAACUUCUUUUAUAUGGGAAUAAAAUGUUCCACGUGUGGGAUUUUGUAUGUACCAUAUGAAUAAGGAUCGUCUAACUCCGUGCCAGCAGCCGCGGUAAUACGGAGGAUCCGAGCGUUAUCCGGAUUUAUUGGGUUUAAAGGGAGCGUAGGUGGAUUGUUAAGUCAGUUGUGAAAGUUUGCGGCUCAACCGUAAAAUUGCAGUUGAAACUGGCAGUCUUGAGUACAGUAGAGGUGGGCGGAAUUCGUGGUGUAGCGGUGAAAUGCUUAGAUAUCACGAAGAACUCCGAUUGCGAAGGCAGUUCACUGUACUGCAACUGACACUGAGGCUCGAAAGUGUGGGUAUCAAACAGGAUUAGAUACCCGAGUAGUC